CAUUUCUGACUCUCUAGUUCUUAUCUUCUUUUUUUCCUUAGAGAGAGCGAGAGAGAGAGAGAGAGAUCAUGCUAUGCUGGCGCAGUCAACCCAAGCUCAAGCUGUCUCCAGCACUGCUUGUGAGCCGGGCCCACGUUGCUGCCCAGGGACUCGGUGGUGAGGGAGGUGUGAUGUGUGAGUCUGCUGGGGCAGCCCUAGCGAGGCACACAGAGGCCACCUGGGAACCGACGGUGUCCACUGAUGGACGUUUUCCUGGGCUGAAGUAUUUCAGAUGCCCAGUGUACUCCCAGCCCUCACAGCGGUCAGUUCUGCUUCACGGGUUUCCCACAUGAUUUGGCUAAGACGUCAGCCGGCAAAGACGCUUGGGUUGGCUUUAGACAUUACGAAUAAAAGGAAGCUGCGGGAGGCGGUCAAAGUCUGAGACAUGACAGGUCAAAGCUGAAAUCACAGGGGGCUGCGUUGCCUUUUGAUGGGAGAGCCAGAGGCUGCAUUCCGAAGAUUGCACGAUGCCAGCUCCCAACUGCGAGGGGGCAGAUUUGUUGGAAUUUCUCAAAUCCAGUCUUUGAUACAUGCGUUGUUCCUUCAAUUGCUAAUAAACGGUCUUGGGGAGAAAAAA
rnacentral:lncRNA from 1 species